rfam:Schistosoma mansoni strain Puerto Rico chromosome 3, complete genome
AUCCAGCCGACGAAUCACAAAUAGGACGAAACGCGCGUCCUAGAU